AUAUAUAUUUCUUUUUCUUUAAUAAUAAAGAUAUUAAAGCAAAGGAUGGACAUGGGGACAAUAAAAUGAAAGAGACUAAAAUCCUGGCAAAGAAAUGGAUAGGAAUGGCGAGAGAGAGAAUCUAGAGAUCAAAAUCAAAUGUAUCCAACAGACUAAUGGUCAAGUGAAAGUGGUGAAUAUUAACCCACAAAGCCAAAUCUUAUAUGAAGUUUUAAUAAAACCAAAAUCCACUUCAACAACUAUGAUAAAAGACACAUAUCCACAUCACUUGAACGAGUUGCAAAUCCUGUCAUAGAGGAGCCGACAAGGAAGAGUCUACAGUCUGGAAAAGGGACAAAGAGAAACAAUAACCAGUUUGCUGUGGAGGACUUGUGUGUAUAUUACUGACAUGGUUGAAAUUGACAGAUGUGAUCUGCGGCACGGAAGGUCUUUGUACUGGGAUAAAAUCUAAGGGAGCAGAGCUUCCCAUCAGAUUUCUGUGAGGCCUCAU